CUUUAACCAAUUAAAUGGAAUAGGCAUCUUUCCUCAUGGAUCCCAGUGUGCAACAGCUGAAAACAGCAACCACUUUAGUAGUGCAUGCAACCUAUUGAUUGUAUGGUUCGCACUAAGAAUCCUUGGAGACAGCC